AGAGUUUGAUCCUGGCUCAGGACGAACGCUGGCGGCGCGCUUAACACAUGCAAGUCGAACGCUCUUUGUUCUUCGGAACAGGGGGAGUGGCGAACGGGUGCGUAACACGUGAGCAACCUGCCCGGAUGUGGGGGAUAACUGCUGGAAACGGCAGCUAAUACCGCAUAGGCUCUCUGGCUGAGUGGCUGGAGAGUAAAAGG
rnacentral:rRNA from 1 species